rnacentral:rRNA from 1 species
CGUCCAGACUCCUACGGGAGGCAGCAGUGAGGAAUAUUGGUCAAUGGGCGCAAGCCUGAACCAGCCAAGUCGCGUGAGGGAAGACGGCCCUACGGGUUGUAAACCUCUUUUGCCGGGGAGCAAGCCUGAGCACGUGUGCCCAGGCGGAGAGUACCCGGAGAAAAAGCAUCGGCUAACUCCGUGCCAGCAGCCGCGGUAAUACGGAAGGUCCGGGCGUUAUCCGGAUUUAUUGGGUUUAAAGGGAGCGUAGGCCGGUCUUUAAGCGUGCCGUGAAAUUUUGUGGCUCAACCAUGAGAGUGCGGCGCGAACUGGAGACCUUGAGUGCGCGGAAGGCAGGCGGAAUUCGUGGUGUAGCGGUGAAAUGCGUAGAUAUCAGGAGGAACACCGGUGGCGAAGGCGGCCUGCUGGACGGCGACUGACGUUGAGGCUCGAAAGCGUGGGGAGCGAACAGGAUUAGAUACCCGAGUA